rnacentral:rRNA from 1 species
GAUGAACGCUAGCGGGUGCGCCUAACACAUGCAAGUCGAGCGGAGGCGUUGAGAAGCCUGCUUUUCAACAACUUAGCGGCAAACGGGUGCGUAACACGUUGAUACUUCCCCCCAAGUCAGGGAUAGUCUGGAGAAAUCCAGCUUAAUACCGGAUAGUCCCGCAAGGGUAAAGCAGCAAUGCGCUCGGGGAAAGGUCUGCGGCCUAUCAGCUAGUUGGUGAGGUAAUAGCUCACCAAGGCAAUGACGGGUAGCUGGUCUGAGAGGACGACCAGCCACAAUGGGACUGAGACACGGCCCAUACUCCUACGGGAGGCAGCAGUGAGGAAUCUUCCACAAUGGGCGAAAGCCUGAUGGAGCGACACCGCGUGAAGGAUGAAGCUUUUGUUAGUGUAAACUUCUUUUCUCUGGGAAGAUAAUGACGGUACCAGAGGAAUAAGGGGCGGCAAAUUUCGUGCCAGCAGCCGCGGUAAUACGAAAGCCCCAAGCGUUAUCCGGAAUUACUGGGCGUAAAGCGUCUGUAGGUGGUCUUAUAAGUUUCGUGUGAAACUCCAGGGCUCAACCCUGGAUUGUACGAAGAACUAUAAGACUUGAGUGUGGGAGAGGCUAGCAGAACGGUAUGAGUAGGGGUGCAAUCCGUUGAUACAUACCAGAAUACCAAAAGCGAAGGCAGCUAGCUGGAACACUACUGACACUGAGAGACGAAAGCGUGGGGAGCGAAAGGG